GUGGGGAAUAUUGGACAAUGGGCGAAAGCCUGAUCCGGCCAUGCCGCGUGUGUGAAGAAGGUCUUCGGAUUGUAAAGCACUUUAAGUUGGGAGGAAGGGCAGUAAGUUAAUACCUUGCUGUUUUGACGUUACCGACAGAAUAAGCACCGGCUAACUUCGUGCCAGCAGCCGCGGUAAUACGAAGGGUGCAAGCGUUAAUCGGAAUUACUGGGCGUAAAGCGCGCGUAGGUGGUUUUGUAAGUUGGAGGUGAAAUCCCCGGGCUCAACCUGGGAACUGCCUCCAAAACUGCAUGACUAGAGUACGGUAGAAGGUAGUGGAAUUUCCUGUGUAGAGGUGAAAUGCGUAGAGAUAGGAAGGAACACCAGUGGCGAAGGCGACUACCUGGACUGGUACUGACACUGAGGUGCGAAAGCGUGGGGAGCAAACAGGAUUAGAAACCCUGGUAGUCC
rnacentral:rRNA from 1 species